rnacentral:tRNA from 1 species
UCGUGCCCGAGUGGUCUAAGGGGUUGGACUCGAAAUCCAAUGUGCUCCGCACGCGCAGGUUCAAACCCUGCCGAC